AAUACCUUUUGUCCACACACACAUAAUAUCUGCAUACAUUGGUUGGUGGUCCUGUUCCCUAAAGAUCAAGCUACACAUCAGUUUUACAGUAUAAAUCCUUGUAUUACCUUAAUGAUAAGGAAGCACUUAGUGGACUCCUUCUAGUUUCAUUUGCUAAUGAUGAAUACACUGUCUGGGCUGGCCAGUUUCUCAUGCAUGCUGGUUGACAACAUAGUCAGGCAUUUGUAUUAAAAACAAAAAAUGAAAAACAAAUUCAAAACCUAUUCAAAUGGGUUCUAGUUCACUUUAUUAAUAUAAAUCAUCAUAGUUGGUUUACUGAAAGCAAACACAUUUCAAAUUGGUUUACCUCAGGAUGUAUGUAGAAAAAACAAGCAAAGGA